rnacentral:rRNA from 1 species
UGGGGAAUUUUGGACAAUGGGCGAAAGCCUGAUCCAGCAAUGCCGCAUGUGUGAAGAAGGCCUUCGGGUUGUAAAGCACUUUUGUCCGGAAAGAAAUCCUUGGCUCUAAUACAGUCGGGGGAUGACGGUACCGGAAGAAUAAGCACCGGCUAACUACGUGCCAGCAGCCGCGGUAAUACGUAGGGUGCAAGCGUUAAUCGGAAUUACUGGGCGUAAAGCGUGCGCAGGCGGUUUGCUAAGACCGAUGUGAAAUCCCCGGGCUCAACCUGGGAACUGCAUUGGUGACUGGCAGGCUAGAGUAUGGCAGAGGGGGGUAGAAUUCCACGUGUAGCAGUGAAAUGCGUAGAGAUGUGGAGGAAUACCGAUGGCGAAGGCAGCCCCCUGGGCCAAUACUGACGCUCGUGCACGAAAGCGUGGGGAGCAAACAGGAUUAGAUACCCUGGUAGUCCACGCCCUAAAACGAUGUCAACUAGUUGUUGGGGAUUCAUUUCCUUAGUAACGUAGCUAACGCGUGAAGUUGACCGCCUGGGGAGUACGGUCGCAAGAUUAAAACUCAAAUGAAUUGACGGGGUCAUAGCUGUUUCCU